rnacentral:misc_RNA from 1 species
GAAAAGAGCUCUGAUAUAUGAGUUUAUGCCAAAUGGAUCUCUUGACAAGUUCAUAUGCUACAAAAGUCCUUUGAAGAGUAGUGAUCAUCAUUUGGGAUGGGAAACUAUGCACCAAAUUGCUAUAGGAAUAGCUCAAGGACUUGAGUACUUACACCGUGGAUGCAACACAAGGAUUGUGCACUUUGACAUAAAGCCUCACAACAUUCUUCUUGAUGAAAAUUUUACGCCAAAGAUUUCAGAUUUUGGUCUUGCUAAAUUUUAUCCAACAAAGGGGAACAUUGCAUCUCUUACAGCUGCAAGGGGAACAAUAGGAUAUAUGGCACCAGAAUUAUUCUACAAAAAC